GAUUUUAGAAAUCGUGAGGGUUCAAGUCCCUCUAUCCCCAAAA
rnacentral:tRNA from 1 species